CCUACGGGGGGCUGCAGUGGGGAAUAUUGCACAAUGGGCGCAAGCCUGAUGCAGCCAUGCCCCGUGUGUGAAGAAGGCCUUCGGGUUGUAAAGCACUUUCAGCGGGGAGGAAGGCGGUGAGGUUAAUAACCUCAUCGAUUGACGUUACCCGCAGAAGAAGCACCGGCUAACUCCGUGCCAGCAGCCGCGGUAAUACGGAGGGUGCAAGCGUUAAUCGGAAUUACUGGGCGUAAAGCGCACGCAGGCGGUCUGUCAAGUCGGAUGUGAAAUCCCCGGGCUCAACCUGGGAACUGCAUUCGAAACUGGCAGGCUAGAGUCUUGUAGAGGGGGGUAGAAUUCCAGGUGUGGCGGUGAAAUGCGUAGAGAUCUGGAGGAAUACCGGUGGCGAAGGCGGCCCCCUGGACAAAGACUGACGCUCAGGUGCGAAAGCGUGGGGAGCAAACAGGAUUAGAUACCCCAGUAGUC
rnacentral:rRNA from 1 species